rnacentral:rRNA from 1 species
GCGAAAACUUUGCAAUGCGGGAAACCGUGACAAGGGAACUCUGAGUGCCCGUAAAAUCGGGCUGUCCAUUGGUGUAAAAAACCAGUGAAGAAAGGGCCGGGCAAGACCGGUGCCAGCCGCCGCGGUAAUACCGGCGGCUCGAGUGGUGGCCACUAUUACUGGGCUUAAAGCGUUCGUAGCUGGUUUGUUAAGUCUCUGGGGAAAUCUUCCGGCUUAACCGGAAGGCGUCUCAGGGAUACUGGCAGACUAGGGACCGGGAGAGGUGAGAGGUACUCCAGGGGUAGGAGUGAAAUCCUGUAAUCCUUGGGGGACCACCUGUGGCGAAGGCGUCUCACCAGAACGGCUCCGACAGUGAGGGACGAAAGCUGGGGGAGCAAACCGGAUUAGAUACCCGGGUAGUCCCAGCUGUAAACGAUGCGCGUUAGGUGUAUCGGUGACCACGAGUCACCGAGGUGCCGAAGAGAAAUCGUGAAACGUGCCGCCUGGGAAGUACGGUCGCAAGGCUGAAACU